CAGCAGUUGACCAGGAAGACCCGUCACCCACCUCUGAAACACAUUUCAAGGAUAUAUUGGCGGAACUCGUACACGAGCAAAGCAGGAUAUAGAUCGAGGAGAAAAGUGAACCAGGUAGCAGCGAAGGUUAUGAAGGAGAUAGAGGGUAGAGUGGUGGAGCACCCACUGAUAGCAGCGAAAAAGGAGGAGCUAUUCAGACGGGAUGGAGUGCACCUAACGGACGAGGGGAAUGACCAACUGCUGGUGGACAUCAGAGGGAUGUGCCAAGAGUUGGUAAAGCAGAGCACGAUGCAAUAACCGGAGAGGUCAUGUGAGAAGGCAGUACUUGCACGGCUAAGG